UAGAGUUUCAACACUACGGAGGUCCCCUCGGUGGUAAAGACAGAGAAUGGCUCCCUUCCCACCGAGUUCAAGAAAUUGACCAUAAAGAGAAGGACAAGGAGAGGACGCAGGAAGCCUCGCAAGGAGAUUCAAUAACGUCUCCAUAAGAUACUGACUCUUCUGCUUCUAUUCCAGAAUUUAAGUACAGCUACUGGGAUAAAGAGAUGGUCUUUGGGGAA
rnacentral:lncRNA from 1 species